AGGCCCACUGGUCAGUCAUUGACAAACCCUACCUUUCCUCUACCUCCAUUUCACCAAAUUUUCACCGUCGCCAGCCCCAACUACCUCGUCUCCCCCAAAUUGCCGCCAGCCCCUGCUCAGAUCAUCCCCCGGCCCUGCCCACCCGCCUCCUCAGAUCCACGAAGCUCCCACCCCACCGACGCCUCCUCAGAUCCUCCGCAGGAGGUUAGUGAGCGGCGGGCCCGCUCGCCGCACAGGGCUACGCGGCGGGCCGCGACUCGGCGCUGCCGGCGCACAGCUCCGCCUCCGCGAGGCGCUGGCGGACGGGCAGGUAGCGGCCGGCGUGCUGCUACGCCUCCGCGAGACGCGGGCGGAAAAGCAAGCAGCGGCCGCCGGCGGCUCGGCACUGGCGCGCAGCUCCGCCUCCGUGAGGUGGGGACGGGCGCAUCUCAUGACGGGAGCCGUGCAGGUAGUUCCGGAAGAAAUGCUAGGAAGGAUGCUUGAAGCUGGUUGCAAGCUGGAAGAAAAAAUAUUCAUGCAAGCUUUUAUGUUUGUUUUGUUUUUUAGUUCCUGGGAAUGAAUGUUUUGCACAACCUUAAUGGUUGAGAGCUUGCUCAUAUGCAAACUUGAUGACUUUUGGUCCCUGACUGCAUAGAUAUCUGCAAACCAAAUGGCUGUGAGCCCAUGUCACUUUGUAGUGUUGUAGUAGCUUAGCUAGCUGCUAGCUUAGCUCAUGUAUAUAUGUAUGGAUGACUUAAUAUCAAUGUUAUAUGCUCAUUUUCAAUGAA